UACGAACUGUGCGAACGUUAUUCGGAAUCACUGGGCUUACAGGGUGCGUAGGCGGCUUAGCAAGUCAGGUGUGAAAGCCCCCGGCUCAACCGGGGAACUGCGCCUGAAACUGCUGAGCUCGAGUCAGCUAGAGGUACACGGAACUUCCAGUGGAGCGGUGAAAUGUGUUGAUAUUGGAAGGAACACCGGAGGCGAAAGCGGUGUACUGGGGCUGGUCUGACGCUGAGGCACGAAAGCCAGGGGAGCGAACGGG
rnacentral:rRNA from 1 species